CGCUGGUGGCGUGCUUAACACAUGCAAGUCGAACGGAAAGGCCCUGCUUUUGUGGGGUGCUCGAGUGGCGAACGGGUGAGUAACACGUGAGUAACCUGCCCUUGACUUUGGGAUAACUUCAGGAAACUGGGGCUAAUACCGGAUAGGAGCUCCUGCUGCAUGGUGGGGGUUGGAAAGUUUCGGCGGUUGGGGAUGGACUCGCGGCUUAUCAGCUUGUUGGUGGGGUAGUGGCUUACCAAGGCUUUGACGGGUAGCCGGCCUGAGAGGGUGACCGGCCACAUUGGGACUGAGAUACGGCCCAGACUCCUACGGGAGGCAGCAGUGGGGAAUAUUGCACAAUGGGCGGAAGCCUGAUGCAGCAACGCCGCGUGCGGGAUGACGGCCUUCGGGUUGUAAACCGCUUUCGCCUGUGACGAAGCGUGAGUGACGGUAAUGGGUAAAGAAGCACCGGCUAACUACGUGCCAGCAGCCGCGGUGAUACGUAGGGUGCGAGCGUUGUCCGGAUUUAUUGGGCGUAAAGGGCUCGUAGGUGGUUGAUCGCGUCGGAAGUGUAAUCUUGGGGCUUAACCCUGAGCGUGCUUUCGAUACGGGUUGACUUGAGGAAGGUAGGGGAGAAUGGAAUUCCUGGUGGAGCGGUGGAAUGCGCAGAUAUCAGGAGGAACACCAGUGGCGAAGGCGGUUCUCUGGGCCUUUCCUGACGCUGAGGAGCGAAAGCGUGGGGAGCGAACAGGCUUAGAUACCCUGGUAGUCCACGCUGUAAACGGUGGGUACUAGGUGUGGGGUCCAUUCCACGGGUUCCGUGCCGUAGCUAACGCUUUAAGUACCCCGCCUGGGGAGUACGGCCGCAAGGCUAAAACUCAAAGGAAUUGACGGGGCCCCGCACAAGCGGCGGAGCAUGCGGAUUAAUUCGAUGCAACGCGUAGAACCUUACCUGGGUUUGACAUGGAUCGGGAGUGCUCAGAGAUGGGUGUGCCUCUUUUGGGGUCGGUUCACAGGUGGUGCAUGGCUGUCGUCAGCUCGUGUCGUGAGAUGUUGGGUUAAGUCCCGCAACGAGCGCAACCCUUGUUCACUGUUGCCAGCACGUUAUGGUGGGGACUCAGUGGAGACCGCCGGGGUCAACUCGGAGGAAGGUGGGGAUGACGUCAAGUCAUCAUGCCCCUUAUGUCCAGGGCUUCACGCAUGCUACAAUGGCUGGUACAGAGAGUGGCGAGCCUGUGAGGGUGAGCGAAUCUCGGAAAGCCGGUCUCAGUUCGGAUUGGGGUCUGCAACUCGACCUCAUGAAGUCGGAGUCGCUAGUAAUCGCAGAUCAGCAACGCUGCGGUGAAUACGUUCCCGGGGCUUGUACACACCGCCCGUCAAGUCAUGAAAGUUGGUAACACCCGAAGCCGGUGGCCUAACCGUUGUGGGGGAGCCGUCGAAGGUGGGACUGGUGAUUAGG
rnacentral:rRNA from 1 species